rnacentral:rRNA from 1 species
UACGUAGGGAGCAAGCGUUGUUCGGAUUUACUGGGCGUAACGGGCGCGUAGGCGGCCUGUCAAGUCAAUUGUGAAAUCUCCGGGCUUAACUCGGAACGGUCAAUUGAUACUGUCAGGCUAGAGUGCAGAAAGGGCAAUCGGAAUUCUUGGUGUAGCGGUGAAAUGCGUAGAUAUCAAGAGGAAUACCGAUGGCGAAGGCAGGUCUCUGGGCUGACACUGACGCUCAUGCACGAAAGCGUGGGGAGCAAACAGG